GACGAACGCUGGCGGCGUGCCUAACACAUGCAAGUCGAGCGAAUGAAGUUCCUUCGGGAAUGGAUUUAGCGGCGGACGGGUGAGUAACACGUGGGCAACCUGCCUCAUAGAGGGGAAUAGCCUUCCGAAAGGGAGAUUAAUACCGCAUAAGAUUGUAGUACCGCAUGGUACAGCAAUUAAAGGAGCAAUCCGCUAUGAGAUGGGCCCCGCGGCGCAUUAGCUAGUUGGUGAGGUAACGGCUCACCAAGGCGACGAUGCGUAGCCGACCUGAGAGGGUGAUCGGCCACAUUGGGACUGAGACACGGCCCAGACUCCUACGGGAGGCAGCAGUGGGGAAUAUUGCACAAUGGGGGAAACCCUGAUGCAGCAACGCGCGUGAGUGAUGACGGCUCGGUGUAAGCUCUGUCUUCA
rnacentral:rRNA from 1 species